AUUGAACGCUGGCGGCAUGCCUUACACAUGCAAGUCGAACGGUAACAGGUUAAGCUGACGAGUGGCGAACGGGUGAGUAAUGUAUCGGAACGUGCCCAGUCGUGGGGGAUAACUGCUCGAAAGAGCAGCUAAUACCGCAUACGACCUGAGGGUGAAAGCGGGGGAUCGCAAGACCUCGCGCGAUUGGAGCGGCCGAUAUCAGAUUAGGUAGUUGGUGAGGUAAAGGCUCACCAAGCCGACGAUCUGUAGCUGGUCUGAGAGGGCGACCAGCCACACUGGGACUGAGACACGGCCCAGACUCCUACGGGAGGCAGCAGUGGGGAAUUUUGGACAAUGGGCGCAAGCCUGAUCCAGCCAUGCCGCGUGCGGGAAGAAGGCCUUCGGGUUGUAAACCGCUUUUGUCAGGGAAGAAAAGGUUCUGGCUAAUACCUGGGACUCAUGACAGUACCUGAAGAAUAAGCACCGGCUAACUACGUG
rnacentral:rRNA from 1 species